rnacentral:rRNA from 1 species
UACGGAGGGUGCAAACGUUGCUCGGAAUUAUUGGGCGUAAAGCGCACGUAGGCGGUCCAGCAAGUCGGGAGUGAAAUCCCUCGGCUCAACCGAGGAAGUGCUUUCGAAACUACUGGGCUUGAAUACUGGAGAGGGUUGCGGAAUUCCCGGUGUAGAGGUGAAAUUCGUAGAUAUCAGGAGGAACACCGGUGGCGAAGGCGGCGACCUGGACCGGUACUGACGCUGAGACGCGAAAGCGUGGGGAGCAAACAGG